rnacentral:rRNA from 1 species
UACGUAGGGGGCGAGCGUUGUCCGAAGUUACUGGGCGUAAAGCGCGCGUAGGCGGUUUCUUAAGUCUGGUGUGAAAGGUUCAGGGCUCAACCCGAAGAGUGCACUGGAUACUGGGAGACUUGAGUUUGGGAGAGGAGAGUGGAAUUCCUGGUGUAGCGGUGAAAUGCGUAGAUAUCAGGAGGAACACCGGUGGCGAAGGCGGGUCUCUGGGCCGAAAUUGACGCUGAGGAGCGAAAGCGUGGGGAGCAAACAGG